UUGGAUAUUCCUUCGCAAUCUUAAGCUUCUGAUAAUAAAGUUUUUCCUUAGUUUUGGUCAAAUGUUCUUUUCGAUUUGCUUAAUGCUCCAAACUCUUCAAAACUGUCCUCAGAGAUUCCUUAGUAAUAUCAAGCUUUUGAUGAUAUGUUUUUUUUUCCUUUGUUUCGGGAUAGGUAAUGAAAUGUGCACAUUUCAGUUACCACCUGAUGGAUCUACUGCAGGCUUGGACAACUAGGAUCAGGGUGUCUCUCAGUUGGCUCAAGGGCAGAUCUGGAUGGCGACUUUGUUCUGGAUUCUUCCACUGGUGGGGAGAACGAGGAUUUAACAUUUGAAGAAUUUCAUCAUGAUAUUUAGGAGAGGAAAAGGUGGCAAAGGAGAAGCUCUUGCUGCUGACAUCUGAGUGGCACAGAAAGUGGAAAUAAACCCCUCUUCAAAAUCGACAAUUCGAUUAAACUAAACCGGUCCUCUUCCAAACAGGGAGUAGUUCUCUGCUUCGAUGAGGAAGAAGCUCGGAUUGGAAAGUUGAAGCAUAUUUGGAAAUGUUUUUCUUGUUUCCUUAAUGUAAUCUGUUUGGGGAUUUGACUGAAAAGAACAAUACAAAGUUUCUACUACAUUUUCACUGCCC